GACGAACGCUGGCGGCGUGCUUAACACAUGCAAGUCGAACGGAAAGGCCCUGCUUUUGUGGGGUGCUCGAGUGGCGAACGGGUGAGUAACACGUGAGUAACCUGCCCUUGACUUUGGGAUAACUUCAGGAAACUGGGGCUAAUACCGGAUAGGAGCUCCUGCUGCAUGGUGGGGGUUGGAAAGUUUCGGCGGUUGGGGAUGGACUCGCGGCUUAUCAGCUUGUUGGUGGGGUAGUGGCUUACCAAGGCUUUGACGGGUAGCCGGCCUGAGAGGGUGACCGGCCACAUUGGGACUGAGAUACGGCCCAGACUCCUACGGGAGGCAGCAGUGGGGAAUAUUGCACAAUGGGCGGAAGCCUGAUGCAGCAACGCCGCGUGCGGGAUGACGGCCUUCGGGUUGUAAACCGCUUUCGCCUGUGACGAAGCGUGAGUGACGGUAAUGGGUAAAGAAGCACCGGCUAACUACGUGCCAGCAGCCGCGGUGAUACGUAGGGUGCGAGCGUUGUCCGGAUUUAUUGGGCGUAAAGGGCUCGUAGGUGGUUGAUCGCGUCGGAAGUGUAAUCUUGGGGCUUAACCCUGAGCGUGCUUUCGAUACGGGUUGACUUGAGGAAGGUAGGGGAGAAUGGAAUUCCUGGUGGAGCGGUGGAAUGCGCAGAUAUCAGGAGGAACACCAGUGGCGAAGGCGGUUCUCUGGGCCUUUCCUGACGCUGAGGAGCGAAAGCGUGGGGAGCGAACAGGCUUAGAUACCCUGGUAGUCCACGCUGUAAACGGUGGGUACUAGGUGUGGGGUCCAUUCCACGGGUUCCGUGCCGUGGCUAACGCUUUAAGUACCCCGCCUGGGGAGUACGGCCGCAAGGCUAAAACUCAAAGGAAUUGACGGGGCCCCGCACAAGCGGCGGAGCAUGCGGAUUAAUUCGAUGCAACGCGUAGAACCUUACCUGGGUUUGACAUGGAUCGGGAGUGCUCAGAGAUGGGUGUGCCUCUUUUGGGGUCGGUUCACAGGUGGUGCAUGGCUGUCGUCAGCUCGUGUCGUGAGAUGCUGGGUUAAGUCCCGCAACGAGCGCAACCCUUGUUCACUGUUGCCAGCACGUUAUGGUGGGGACUCAGUGGAGACCGCCGGGGUCAACUCGGAGGAAGGUGGGGAUGACGUCAAGUCAUCAUGCCCCUUAUGUCCAGGGCUUCACGCAUGCUACAAUGGCUGGUACAGAGAGUGGCGAGCCUGUGAGGGUGAGCGAAUCUCGGAAAGCCGGUCUCAGUUCGGAUUGGGGUCUGCAACUCGACCUCAUGAAGUCGGAGUCGCUAGUAAUCGCAGAUCAGCAACGCUGCGGUGAAUACGUUCCCGGG
rnacentral:rRNA from 1 species